UCCCAGGGAUGGGGGAGCGUGGUGGGCUGCUGUCUAUGGGGUCGCACAGAGUCGGAUAUGACUCAAGCAACUUAGCAGCAGCAGCAGCAGCACUCAUAAUGAAAAAUAAUUCAAACUAUACUUAAAUAUUUAAAAGAAUAUAAGCUCAGAGCUUCAUGUAAUACUUUGAGUUCCCUGAAGUCAGGUUCUGUGCUGUAGUCUUCCUUUCUAUCUCCAGUUUUUGGUGUAGAGUAGAGCUCAGAAUUCUUUUUGGAACAGAUGCAUAUGAUCAUGAGACCUGGGAGAACAAUAGGUCUCUGUUGAAAUGUUGGGACCUGAAUCAUGGAAGGCACACAGCUCAUUGCACUCAGCACAAGUUGUCCAUCCAUGAAGAAUCACAGUGGGUUCUGAGCCCUCAUUAUCUUCCCUCAGCCCAGACCUUGGCAUAAAUUGAUGAUGACCAGUUGUAUAAGGUGGAAAAUAGGAGACAGAGAGGAGAUCCUAAUUACAGGCAGUCUCAGUUCAGUUCAGUCGUGUCUGACUCUUUGCGACCCGUAGACUGGAGCAUUCCAGGCUUCGUUGUCCAUCACCAAUUCCCAGAGCUUACUCAAAUUCAUGUCCAUUGAGUCAGUGAUGCCAUCCANNNNNNNNNNNNNNNNNNNNNNNNNNNNNNNNNNNNNNNNNNNNNNNNNNNNNNNNNNNNNNNNNNNNNNNNNNNAACUCUUCGCAUGAAGUGGCCAAAGUACUGGAGCUUCAGCUUCAGCAUCAGGCAGUCUGUCCCCUAACUAUAUAAUCUGCCUAGGCUCUGGGGAAAGCUAAACAUUAUCUCAGAAGAUUGUCUGCGUUCAGUUCCUAGAAUUACCCUGAGCAUGGCCCAGCUGUGACCUUCCGGCAGAGGGAAGUGAUUGCUCUCUUGUCUGAUGAACUUCCUCAAUCCUGGGGAGAUCUUGGGAAGGAUGAAAGGAGAGAACAGGGCGGCAUGCCUGUCAUCACAGUGGCAACUGCCAACUCCUGGAAGUGGAUAAAUGAGAUGACCUCUGGCAAAUAAAGGAAUACGAGAAAGCUGAAAGGGAGAGGUGUAUUGAAAUAGGAUUCUUAGCUUUCCUCCAUGGUGGCCAAUGUUGAUCUAGUGGCAGGGAUGAGAACUUGAGACAAAUCUUUCUUUUCAUUGAAAUGUCUGAGCCCUACUUCCUGCCUUCACUGUGUGGGUUCACUCUUAUGCCAGGAGGUGCCUUCCCUUCCCUUUCUUCCACUAGGUGGAGAGAAGAGCAGUGGGAUGAGCUAGGUCACUCCUGAAGGAAGUACCCUGCCUCCUCCAUAGCAAGGGCAUUACAUCUCUGGAUGGAUAGAAUGGUAUCUAAGGAGGUGAGAAAGGAGAUGUAGACAGCUGCAGUUGCUCCCCAUAUUCCCCUCUGACACACAUUUGUGUAAGUGUUGACGAUGAGUCAUGAGACGGGGAGUGGGGAAUGCAGUUCAAGCACACGUCUGUGACUUCCUGCGUUAGCUGAGUGAUCAAGUCUGAUGUGCCUGAGCAUGGUUCUGUGCAUUGGAGUUGUUAAUGUAAGUCGGGGUCUUUCUGCAGAAAUGUGUGUCUGCUGCUUUGUCUCACUUCCAUGUGUUGACCCCGAAAGUCCAAGACCAGAGUAAAUAUCCGGCUGCUGGGCUGAGCCAAGAAGCCUUGGGACAUUGGGUUAGUCCAGAGUGUUGUUUUUGGAUGAUUCAGGAGACAUGAGCCUAUGAGAGAGAAAAUUAACCUUGUGACUGCCAGUCCUGGAAUAGCCUUGACAGGACUGUGUCACGCCCCUAGUUACUGAGGAAGGCACUGUUUCUCAAACUCCUGACAGUGGCACCCCAGGAAGCAUACCUGCUCCUCCCCCCAUAGUAUUUUUCAACCAGGCGGAUGAUCCAGAUGGAGAGAUGGCAACCUAUUUCUUUACUUUUAUGACCUUGUUAGGGGCUAGAAUGAGAUAGAAGAUGUCCCUCACUGAGCCUUGAAGGAACUGUUUCUGAGCCAAAGAGGGAGGUGAGGUCUUGGGGAGGAAGGGUGCUUGUCAAGAUCAGGUGACCCGGGAUCCCUGCAUAAGCCAUGAAUGGCUAAUGUCACCACCGGCUAACAGAGUACAGGAAGUCCAGUGAGAGUUAGCCCAUCACACACUGUCCUGUCUUCUUCAUCAGCUCAUUCCCUGUUCUGUAAUCUGUCACAUCUGUGUUUCCAAAGGGAGAGAUGCAAGUGUGAGAAAACACGCUGUUUCCUUUCCUUGAGGUAAUGCUGUCUGUUUCUGACAAUAUGUGCCUGAGAGAUUGAAGGAUCAGCUGGAUGUUGUCAAAGAGCCCCUGGGUAUGUGGCUGAUGUCGAUGAGCAAAGCUGGAAGAACUUUAUUAGUCACUAGCCCAGGAAGCUUAUUAUCUCCUUCCCGACAGUGCACAAAAGUUCUGUUUCUUCAUAUGUGUACAUAAGAAAAUCAGUUGGGGAACCUUACUCCAAGACCAAUUCAUUACAUCAGAAUUUAUGGGGACAGUGCCUUGGCAUCAGUAUUUUAAAUACAUCUUAGUACUGUUGUAACAUGCAGCCAGGGUUGCAAAACCCUGAAAUGAUGGAACCCCUCAGUCUGGAAAUGUGAAUCCAGAACAGUCAGCAAGCCACCUCAGUACUGAAAGGGAGACUAUGCCUCCUUUAUCCACAUGAGAUGCUGGGUCUUCUGGGUCAUCAUCACCACGUGACAUCUUCAUGAUGUUCAGUGGACGUGUCUGAAAACAGAGUGGGCCAAUUAGAUUUUCUGUGUCAGGAAUUUAAAGGCAUCCAAAUAUGGAUGACUUGAAAGUUAGGAUUAGUGAGGGGUGCAGUGGUCGUUAUGAGUUUAUGGUCAUGAAGAUUUAUGAGGUAGAGAGACUCAGAGGCAAUUGGUCAGGAAAGGGAAGAGGUUGAAACAGCAGUGAGAGAAGCAGAAGACUGACAGGGGGACUUAGAGAGGGAAAGAUGGCCAGCCUCCAGAGAUGCCUGGAUUCCUCACCUUGCUGAGAUCUUUCCCUAGACUGCAUAGCAACCAGAAACCCUAGCUAGAACUCUGAUU
ensembl:lncRNA